GAUGAACGCUGGCGGCGUGCUUAACACAUGCAAGUCGAACGGUGAAGCAGGAGCUUGCUCCUGUGGAUCAGUGGCGAACGGGUGAGUAACACGUGAGCAACCUGCCCCUGACUCUGGGAUAAGCGCUGGAAACGGCGUCUAAUACUGGAUAUGUGAUGUGACCGCAUGGUCUGCAUCUGGAAAGAAUUUCGGUUGGGGAUGGGCUCGCGGCCUAUCAGCUUGUUGGUGAGGUAAUGGCUCACCAAGGCGUCGACGGUUAGCCGGCCUGAGAGGGUGACCGGCCACACUGGGACUGAGACACGGCCCAGACUCCUACGGGAGGCAGCAGUGGGGAAUAUUGCACAAUGGGCGGAAGCCUGAUGCAGCAACGCCGCGUGAGGGAUAACGGCCUUCGGGUUGUAAACCUCUUUUAGCAGGGAAGAAGCGAAAGUGACGGUACCUGCAGAAAAAGCACCGGCUAACUACGUGCCAGCCGCCGCCGUAA
rnacentral:rRNA from 1 species